UACGAAGGGGGCUAGCGUUGUUCGGAAUCACUGGGCGUAAAGCGUACGUAGGCGGACCAUUAAGUCGGGGGUGAAAUCCCAGGGCUCAACCCUGGAACUGCCUUCGAUACUGGUGGUCUGGAGUCCGGGAGAGGUGAGUGGAACUCCUAGUGAUAGAGGUGAAAUUCGUAGAUAUUAGGAAGAACACCGAGUGGCGAAGGCGGCUCACGUGCCCGGUACUGACGCUG
rnacentral:rRNA from 1 species